GACGAACGCUGGCGGCGUGCUUAACACUUGCAAGUCGAACGGUGAAAGCGGAGCUUGCUCCGCUGGGUCAGUGGCGAACGGGGGAGUAACACGUGGGCAACCUGCCCUUCACUUCGGGAUAACUCCGGGAAACCGGGGCUAGUACCGGAUGUGACCUCUGCGGGCAUCCGCGGAGGCGGAAAGGUCUUCGGUGAAGGAGGGGCCCGCGGCCUGUCAGCUUGUUGGUGAGGUAGUGGCUCACCAAGGAGACGACGGGUAGCCGGCCUGGGAGGGCGACCGGCCACACUGGGACUGAGCCACGGCCCAGACUCCUACGGGAGGCAGCAGUGGGGAAUAUUGCGCAAUGGGCGAAAGCCUGACGCAGCAACGCCGCGUGCGGGAUGACGGCCUUCGGGUUGUAAACCGCUUUCAGCAGGGAAGAAGCCGCAAGGUGACGGUACCUGCAGAAGAAGCACCGGCUAACUACGUGCCAGCAGCCGCUGUAA
rnacentral:rRNA from 1 species